GCCAAACUCGUUUAAAUUGCAAUUCCGUCUCCCGAUUACAUAUAGUACUUCUGAAAACGCAUAACAACCUGAGUAGCAGACUAACACACCGAAAUACUUAACCAAUUCACUUAUUUGCCCAAGAGGAAAAAUCAGACCUAAAGAAGGAACUGGUUCUCCAAUUUAGAAAGAGGUUGGUGCCACAUCCGGUGUCUAACCCACGCUAUGCUGUUGCACUAAAGUCGGGCAACCAUUCCAAUCUGCUCAUCAAUAACUAGUCCCAGAGCUCCACACACAUGAAACCCCACCGUCUAAGGUAACCGACUCGGCUAGGGUUCCAUGUUUUAAGUCUUCUCAAGCCGAAUCGCCGAUGGCAAGGUUACCAAGCUGGUCAGUUGGAGGAGAUGGGACAGCUUGAGCCAUACGCAAGACAUCCAUGGCUUCAGCUACCUUAGCCUUCAAGGCUUCGGGCGACUCAAUUAAAUGCAAAACUUCAGUUUGAUCCAUCUCCAGGAGCAUGCCCGUCACCUUGCCAGCAAAAUCAUGCUCCAGCUGGUCCACCAGAGGGUAAAGCUGCUCACCAAGCAUCUGAGAAAACACGAGAGCGAGUGCAUUUGCUUAAUAUUUAUAGUAAAAGUGAAAGUUCCAACAAAAGAAAAUGUGAAGAAAAAACACGAACUUCCUUGGCACACUAAGUAAAGAAACAGAAAAGUCGAGAAAAUUACAGCACGCUGUUGCUCAGGUGGGGCAGAAGCCAAAGCAGAAGCAAGCGCACUGAUUGGCAGAGGCUGCUGAGGAACGCCAGCAUCAGCAUUAGCCACUGGCACACCUCCAAUUUCAAUGGGAACAGGAAGCAUAGCACCCAUGAUACCCUGAGGAGGAACAGCGACAUCUGGAGUGUUCCUCGCAUUAGUAGUAUAUCGGAAGUUCCGGUU
rnacentral:lncRNA from 1 species